UAGCAUGUUUCCAAGAGCUGUGGCCAUGGGAUCUCCAAUUGUACACCAGAGUAACUGAGGGACUUUGACAGCCCAGGUCAACGCAGUGCCUGCAGCUGCCACUCAGCUUUCCUGUAUAC